CGCAAGGGGAGUGGCGCACGGGUGAGUAAUACAUGGGAACGUGCCUUUCAGUCUGGGAUAACAGCGGGAAACUGCUGCUAAAACCGGAUAUUCCCUCCGGGGGAAAGUUUACGCUGAAAGAUCGGCCCAUGCGAGAUUAGGUAGUUGGUGGGGUAAAAGCCUACCAAGCCUACGAUCUCUAGCUGGUCUGAGAGGACGACCAGCCACACUGGAACUGAGACACGGUCCAGACUCCUACGGGAGGCAGCAGUGGGGAAUAUUGGACAAUGGGGGAAACCCUGAUCCAGCCAUGCCGCGUGAGUGAUGAAGGCCUUAGGG
rnacentral:rRNA from 1 species